ensembl:lncRNA
AUAAGUUCUGCUGCAGUCUUAAAAGUGCCACUUCUUUCAUCACAGGAAGUUUUACAACACUAUAAUUCUCAGCAAACAGUGUUAGUUUCAGUUAGCUCAAGGAAGAGGAACCAAAAGCAGGACUAAAAACAAGCAGCGCUGUAAAGGAAAGUAAAGAAGACCUUUAAUAAAUUAACACACACAAAAAAAUUAGCUGAUAUUAAAAUUUCAAAAAAGACAGGUAACCACAACUUGAAGAAGUAGUCUGAGGCUAAUUCUGGGAAUCAAAAUUCAGCCAGAUAACGCGCAGAUACAGCUUGCUAACCAUGCUAGCUAGUGUUAGCGAGUGACUUAGCGCUCUGCCCUUUAAUCCAAACAUGGUAACUUUGGUUUCAAAACAAGGAAGCUGGAGAUGCUUAGAUACUAAAAUUGAGCCUUCAAAACAGAACUUUACAUGGGUGAUGAUAUGGUUGCCAAGACAUCUUUAAACAAACACGGAGGAAGUAAACAAAACUGAGAGUGAGUAAAGUACUACGAUAACACUCAGAGAGCACGAACCUCCACCAAGGCAGCUCGCUCUCUUGACAGUAUUUACUUUGAAUGCAAUAGUGUAUUUAUUGUGUGUUGUAUCUAUUCAUUUUGUUUUCUUUGGUCUUUUUAAAUGUACUGUAGGAUGCUUGUAGUGCAUUAAAUCAAGUGCUAAGUGCAGGUUUAUGUUAUUUGCCCCCCUGUUGAAACCCAUUUCCAUUUGGGCGGGAGGGCACAUGUGUGUACAUGUGUAGCAUUCAUUUUACUGUUUGUUUAAUUAGUUUAAAUGUUUAAUGAAUAUCAGGUGAAAAGAGGAAAUCCCCUGCAUCAAAAAAAAAAAAUGAAAAAAGUAAAACUAAUACUUAUUCAGGAACAUGGUGCAUGUAUUCAAAUUGUUGUAUAUUUACACUGUUAUAACCUAUUAUUGUAAUGUAUAUAAAUCCAUAAUAAAAUGAAACAACUAUACACAAAAAAGUAUCCCAUGCCCACAUGUUCUUGUCAGAAACCUCUUAUUGUUUAUUGAGAGCAUUAUUAUCACAUUGACCUUCAGAUUAAUCUAUUAAACUCGAAAGAGUUCAAGUGUGACAUGAUAUUUUCUGAUCUUUGUAGGGUACUUUCUGGAUGUUGAAAACACACAACAUUUGUAAGACUGAUAGUUACUAAGUUAUAACCUUAGGUUAUAAGGUUCAAUUUUCAAUCAAUACUCAAUUAAUCAAUAAAGUGACUUUGAAGACCUUAGUGCAUGUACGGAUUAAUGGAUUGUUACCAUGACUCCACUCUACACCCCUACAAUGUUUAAUCAAAAUUCACUGAAACUUUUUUAAGCUAUUGUGUUUACAGACAGAAUCGCAAGUAAGCAACAUUACAAAAAAAUAACCUCCUUGGCAGAGCUGGACACUGCCUCAACUCUAGUGAGUGCAGUGGGCAGUGGACACUGGAGAGGACAGUCAAUCAAUCAAUCAAUAACACAUGUUUGCUGAGGUUUCUCUAGUUGUUGUUCCUGAAUGGACUCAUUGUGGGUUCCCGCCUCUGGCUGAACACACCUGCAACAAUCAAUCACCUGUUCUCGAUGAUCUCGUUAAGAAGCACUAUUUAAGAGGGCGGCUGAGGUUCAUUCUUCUCUGGAUCGUUGAACUGUGCUACCUUCCCUGGAUUUUCCCUGUCCUGGAGUUCUUGGAGAGACUGCUUGAGCUGAGUCAGUGUGGAUCCCCUGUUCCCCCUUCGUACUACCUGUAUAUAUCACCCUGGCGUUUCACUGUAAAUAAAUGCACUAAACUUGAUCCCUCUGAGUCCUGCCAUUGAGUCCACUCCAUCCAGCAUUCCUGACAUAUAGUAGCCAAACAGUUAUAUAUUAAUAAUAAAUAAAAGAUCACACUUGGAACUCAGGGAAAAGCAAAACGAUCUUCAGCGCCAUUCUUUACGUCUGGUGGCUUUA